UACGUAGGGCGCAAGCGUUGUCCGGAAUCAUUGGGCGUAAAGAGCUCGUAGGCGGCCUGUUGCGUCCGCUGUGAAAUCCCGGGGCUUAACCCCGGGCGUGCAGUGGAUACGGGCUGGCUGGAGGCAGGCAGGGGAGAACGGAAUUCCCGGUGUAGCGGUGGAAUGCGUAGAGAUCCGGAAGAACACCGGUGGCGAAGGCGGCCCGCUGGGCAACUGCUGACACUGAUGCGCGACAGCGUGGGGAGCAAACAGG
rnacentral:rRNA from 1 species